rnacentral:rRNA from 1 species
CUGCUCAAUGAUUUUUUAAAUUGCUGUGGUAUUUUGACUAUACAAAGGUAUUGAAAUAAGAUUUUAAUUGAAUGCUAAGAGAAUGGAUAUACAGGAAAAAACUUUUUUUAAAUUAAAAAUUGAAAUUUUUUUAAUUGUGCAGAAACAAUUAUUAAUAUUAAGGACAAGAAGACCCUAUGAAUUUAUUAAAUUUUAUUUAAUAUGUAAUUACUAUUAGAAAAAUUUUGGCUGGGGAGGCUAAAAAAUAUUUUAAACUUUUUAAAAAUAAAAUGAUCCAUUAUUAAUGAUUAUAUGUUAAAUACUCUAGGGAUAACAGCGUA